GGACACACGACUGACCUCAGUCACUUCGGCAAACUGCCCCUGCUUUCCGGAGACGGCAGGAGCGUUUCGGGAGCUCCAGCUCAAGGGCCCGGGGCGCCCGCGUUCCUCUCCCCAGCAGAGAAAAAGCACAGAAGCCACUGUGAGAAAGAGAUGAGGCCUGUCUCCUUUCCACAGAGAGAAGGCGAACAAGUAGGGAGCGGGAGUGCAGCCUGUGAGAAAAAGUGGCCUGGCCUCCAACAGGGUGGAAAUAAGAUGGAAGGAGAUUCAGGGUCCCAGCACCUCACGUGUCCCGGGUGGCUGAUCCCUAUGCAUCACCAAGAACAUCAAUUCCCCAUGUAGAUCCUGAUGUCGAAUGCAGUUUUCAUCUAAGGGAUGAUCUACCUCCAGGAUUCCCUAACAUAGAAGAGGGAUCUGAAGAUCCAGAAACUAAGACCUUUUUGCAUGGGAGGAGAAAGAGGAACCUCCCCACUUCUCUGGAUAAAUGGGACCUUGAACAUCCCUGUCAAGUAAAGCCUGGAGAUUUACACUGUCAGGCCCACUGGGUGUCAUUGGAGCCACAGACAGCUGGAGGGCAGGGCCACUGGCUCUGCUGAAGCCCAUUCCUGGGCUGGCCAUGAAGCUUGUCUGUAUUUGAUCUGACUUGUUCCUGUUUGUGUGUGUUAAAAAAUAAAAUAAAAUUGGUUUCUCUAUCACCACCAUUUGCCAGUGAGCAUCACCACCAUUCCUCAAAAAGGACAGAAAAGACUCCCAGAUGCUGGGACAGUAAGACAUGGUGGCAUUGACUCUCCAAGGGCUGGAGCAUUAGGGCAGUGUGGUUCUAGGAAGCUGGGGGUCAAGCAUCCUCUUCCCACAAACGCUUUCCUGGGUGAGCUCUGUGAACAGGGCCUUCCUCCUUAUUUGAAAAAGGCCAUUAAAAUUCAUCACUUUCUGUUUGACCUCCUCCUGAGUACUCCAGGGACAUCUCUCUGAAACUUACACCUCUUGGAGGUAGGUGCUCUAACCAUGGGCAUGCGGAUGAGGAAACUGAGACAGAGUGUCCCCUAUUAGCUCAAAGUCACAGUCCUUAAGUAACAGAGCCUGGAUACCAAAACGAGUCCCUCUGCCUUAACCCCUGGGGCAGGAAGUGGCAGCUCUCUUAGGUCUGUGAGUGUGUGUGGGUUGGUGCUGGGGUGAGGGGGGUUGGUGGCUGGGAGCACUCUUUGUGUUUACUUGAGUAGGAGAAAGAGAAAGCCUGGAGAUUUUGCAAAGCCUAUAAGGAAACAGGCUGAUGAUGCAGGAGUAGGGAGGGAUUUUGGCUCUGGACUGGGGAGGGAAGAAUAGGGACAAAUGUUCUGUGGCUUUGGCCGGAAGGAUCGCAGCACCCGCUGUCUUUGCUCCUGGGUGGAGGCCAAAGCGUAGGGCCACUACAAUGCGCGGCUUCACUAGUUGGCGCUUCUAUUUGAGCGCCCAUUGCGUGGCGUGUGUGUGUGCGCGCGCGCACGUACGAGUGUGUAAGGUUGGGAGUAGGCUCUGGCCUUGACAUUCCUGAUAAUGAGGAUCUCUGUGUACCUGUGGAGCGCACACUCUGGAAGGAAACUGAGAACAAGUGCUGGCCAUCGGCAAAUUUCCCCGCUCCCAGACGUUUCUAAAUGAGCUGGGGGAUGCAUGUCUGGUUCAGAGUGGGAAACUGAGGGCCGUAGAGACUGUUUAAGGUCACAACUCGAAACACUUUGUCAAGUGUGGAAGGAUAGAAUCUGAAUUGGAACGGAGCUCAAGGCGCAAGAUGUACCCUAAGGUGAAGGAAAAUGCACUUCGAUGCAUUGCUAUUGGCUACCCACCCUGCACCCUGCCCUCAACCUCUAUUUUACUAAGGAGGAGUGGACGCCGCCUAGCGGCCGCACCCGACAUUUCCAACUGGGGCAAGUGGGUGGCGGGAUGUGUCUGAAGGCGCUUUACUCUGCCGGGUGGUCCGAGGUUUCCUCCUGUUAGAAAACGUGGGGGUGCGCCUCUGCUUUAGGCCUCAUGGCCUCUUGUCCUUCCCAGAAGAGGAGACAAGUGUAAUCUGGGAGCCCUCUCAGCUCCUUUUCUGCGGUGGGACUCGGGGAGGGAAAGGCCAGAGGACGGAGUUUUCAGCUCAGUCCUGUCAGGGUCAGCGAGCCGCAGGUUCCCGUCGGGGAGAGGGCUGCGUGGGUGGGAGGUUUACAGAACUGAGCUUUGUUGGCACGAUGCAGUCCUAUGUUUCCUAAAUCCGUCUAUUUCAAAAGAAGAAACUGAGGCCGAGAAGAGAGGUGAUUCAUCUCCGGAGGCCCCACCCCCCCACCCCCAGCACUCGCAGCCACUCACACAUACCAAAGGCGGCUCCCAGGAUCGGUCACCCCACGAUCAUUUAGAAAGACCCAUCUCUACAAAGGGCAGUUCAGUGAGAAGCAAUUCUUAGGAUGCCUCACCACGAGCAUUCCUGCACCCAUAACCCGAACUGCCUAUUUCUAGUGGACAAAUCAACCAGAUGGUUACGCUCUGCUUUUUUCAGCCUAUGUAAAGGUGACCUGAGACGCGACCCAGUUGACUUCUCCCCUCAUCGGAGCGGCACAGAUAUGGGACCCGUGGCUCCGUCUGCGUCCGCGUUCCCUGCAGCGCUGUGUCCCAAGGAGCCCCGAAGCUGGACCAGGCUCUGGCCAGAGAGGGCCAGGGCCGAGGGCCCAGAAAGGGCGCCUGGGUGGGCGCCGUCCAAGCGGCCGAGCGGCGGCUGCAAGCGUCUCCUCCCCCCUCGCGGCGCCAGCACGCGGCCCGGCCGGGCUCGGCUCCCAGUCGCCUGCCACCGGCCCGCCGGGCACACGCCUGGGGCGGGAUGGAGGCUGCGCCAAGGCAGCCGAGGUGCCUACGGCGGCGCCGGACAACCGGCGAAGCUGCUCCCCUAACCCCGUUCCCCAGCUCCAUCACCUCCCGCAUCUCUUUUCUCAGAUCCCCCGUGGGUACACUCCAAGAACUCCCCUCUUUACGCAUCCCCCUAGCCGGUCGGGAAAUAAUCCUUGCGCUGGGGGUGAUGCUACAGGCGGGAGGUCACCCUGGAAGAGUAUCCGUGCUGUACACACCUGUCUAAGUGCUGAUCACCGCCCCCCGCGGUGUGAUCACCU